GUUUCUUUUUCUCUUUUUCUUUCUAAACCAGGUUGUCCUGGCUCGAGAACGGGCAACCUCCAGGGAAUAUGCGAUUAAAAUUCUGGAGAAACGACAUAUCAUAAAAGAGAACAAAGUCCCGUAUGUAACCAGAGAGCGGGAUGUCAUGUCGCGCCUGGAUCACCCCUUCUUUGUUAAGCUUUACUUCACGUUUCAGGACGACGAGAAGCUGUAUUUCGGCCUUAGUUAUGCCAAAAACGGAGAACUACUUAAAUAUAUUCGCAAAAUCGGUUCAUUCGAUGAGACCUGUACUCGAUUUUACACGGCUGAGAUUGUGUCUGCUUUAGAGUACUUGCACGGCAAGGGCAUCAUUCACAGGGACCUUAAACCGGAAAACAUUUUGUUAAAUGAAGAUAUGCACAUCCAGAUCACAGACUUUUGGAACAGCAAAGGUCUUAUCCCCAGAGAGCAAACAAGCCAGGGCCAACUCAUUCGUGGGAACAGCGCAGUACGUUUCUCCAGAGCUGCUCACGGAGAAGUCCGCCUGUAAGAGAUUUUACAUGAGGACCCAUGGCGUGGCCCAGCAGGAGCUGCUCAAGCCCCAUCCUAACAGGCUUCCUGAGGACACAUCAGCCCAGCUGGGCGCCUGGAAUUACGGGCAGAGGGGCCGUGGCGAGGCAGCCGAUGUGUGGGCUAAACACCUUCACACGUCACCCUGGGCAACCUCGAGUGACCGCCGGUGACUCGCUAGGUCCGCCCUUAUAGAAGGCCCUCCACAGCCUCACGUGGCAGGCAGAAGUUCCCAUCCGGAAAAGAAGCAGGCUGGGCCCACUUCCGGCAGGAGUGGAACCAGGUUUAGCGCGCCAACGCUAGAGGGCACUGGCAGGGAACCGCCCCCAACCGCGCCCCCACUCGGUGACGGGGUCAAAGGAAGAGCCACGCCAGCAAAUCUCUACACUCUACAUGCUUUUUAUUACAAGACUACUGAGCAUACGAGGGAAAUUCAUCAUCUGGUAACUACACCUAAAGCACAAAUAUUUGGGGGAAAAAAGGAAGAGAUUCAUUAAAUUAUAUGAUUAAAUCACUGACCCAAUAGAAAAUUUAUAUAAUAAAGCCAGAAAAAAAGUUGUAAAAUAUAGUUUACAAUAAUUAUUCACAUUCAAGGCUGUACAUCAAUACAUACAACAACGUGGCCCCGAACAUGAAUUCAAUGCAAAUAAUUCAUAUAUUAGAAUUUAAAUAACACAGACUGAACUAGAGGCCCAACAGCCAGCAAAUAACCUUAUAUAAGAAUAAAAAUACAAAAGUGUAUAUCCUAAUAUCAUUGCAUUGUUUUCAUAAGUCUCUUAAUUUUUGCUUUGCCUGUACAUCACAGUUACAGCUACAGACCAGGUAGAGAUUACGCAUGUUCUGACUGCCACCCGCCUGAAAGACGUACUAGUCAUUUCUCCUAUUUUAUGUUGUGAAGGAGCAGCUACAGCAGCUCUAAAUACUGUUUAACAAUUUUGCCAACGUCCAACUUACAGUCAUAAUAGAGGCUUUUACCAGCACAAUGACCCCUAUUUGUAGUCAUUCUGCCAGAUGGUUAGGCUAUGUGGGUUACACGGCUGAAAAAAGGUCUGCCUUUUGUAAAAAGUUCCCUGUACAUAGUUUGGUGUUUCUUCAUAUUGAAGAAAUGAGUUAUGGGGAAAAUUCAGGUACACAUGUAGGCUCGUUCAGUUGUGCUCACCACAGCCAUCUCAACAGAUCAAAGUGCUCUUUGUUGGAAACGCCUUCCUCCUCACACCAGUUCUCCACAGGCAGCCUUAUCUACAACCCCGCAAUUUUGGGCCAGAAGUGGUAGCCCCUCAGAGGCUCCAAAGUGCCUCCAGCCCCGAUUCAGGCACUUGCCACGUGUGCUGCAUAAGAAGGGACCCCACCCAGUGAGUCAACAUAGGUUCAUGUCAGGUUUGAAAAUAACUGGGGAAAAGUGUAUGACAACAUCUUCCAGAACAUAGUACCUUCGCCGUAUUCUCACAGCAGCUGCGAUCUUUGAAGUCUCAGCAGUGAGCACCCCGGCUCUGUGGACCAGCCAGGCAAGGGGGCCUCGGGUUUCAGAGGAGGGCAAGAAACCAAAUUCUGUGCUAUUUGGCCAUAAUCUCUGGUAGAGUGAAGCAGCACUGAACGCGGUGCCUAGAAAAACCUCCUGCAUGUUCCCCUGUACAAUCAAUGGACACCAACUAAAGUGGAGAAAUGAAAAAUCCAACCAAAUGUGGGUGGUCUGGACUUGCCGCUAGCCAGGCAAUCUGCAACACUGUGGCAGGGAGUGGGGAGGAGGCGGCCUGAAAUCUACACCAGCUGGGACAACCACGCCCUACAAUGAAAAAGCCAGCCUGGCUGCGGGGCUCUUCUGAACCACUAAGGCCUGAAGCAGGGGCGGGAGCCGGGAGACAAAUACACUCGGAAAACGCCCAAUCAGCGACAUGGUUUUUUUCAAGUGCAGGCUUUGCUCUGCUACUGAUUCCAAAUGGCCUAAUGUACUUUCUGAGUCUAUAAACUUAAUUACAAAUCACUCACUAAGCAUGUGGCAAGGUCAGUUCAACACUUGUUAUCUCUGCUGACUGUGCAGAUGCAAAUUCAGUACCAUUGUGGACACAAAGUACAAGAUUCUGAAAAUACCGCCGAGCGCUUGAAAGCCACGGCAGCAGGGAUGGCAGAGAGCUGACAUGCAGGCGGAGCCAGGUUCUUGCAACCAAAACAAGGAAACCGGCUCUCGGAAAAAAUCGGCCACAAAUGGAUUGCAGCAAUGACAUCCUCUUAGCAUUUAAAUAAAGAGCGGUCUUAUUCAGACAUUCUUUGGAACACACACAGUUUAUCAGAAACUGAUUUGUUCAGAAUCUGCAGGACACAACUAAGGUGGUUCUGCUACUGGAACUCUGAGCAUCUAAACAUAAGAUUAAGAGAGAGAGAGAGAAAUAUAUUUAAAAUGAACAAACUCUUUGACCUCAAAAUACCACUUCUAGGCAUCUAAGGGGGAAAAAAAGUAAGAAAUCAGAAGAUUUUAAGGAUAUUCAUCACAGCAUUAUUUAAAUAGUGGAAAAAUCAGAAACCGUCUAAAUAUUUUACAGUAGGGAAAUGGUCAGAUAAAUUAUAGUAAAUGGACAAUGACUAAACACGACAAUUGUUAAAAACGUGUUUCUGAGAAACUCAGGACAUGGGAAAAUGCUUAAAAUAUCAAGUGAGAAGACGAUGCAAACGGCGUGUGUCGGAUGUUCCCAAUUUAGUUGCAAUAGUGAACAAAUGGCGGGGUAGGAUACAGGCCAAAAUGCUCACAGUGGUCUUCUCUGGGCGGCGAGCCUACAGCUGAUCUCUUGUCAGAGACAAAUGUCAGUUUUGAGUCACCCAGAGCCCUGUGCUGGUGCCUGGGGGUCUGUGCCAUGGGACAGUCUCCACAAUUCCUCUGAGGAAGGGCCACAAAUCCCACAGUGUGUCCCAAGAGGGCUGGAGUAGGCGGAGUCCCCAGCGGCUGUGGCACGACCAGCCAUCUCUCUCAAAACGAAUUGUUAACAAGCCUUCCGUAAGUUAAGGUUCCACGUGGUAGCCGUGGUGCAGAGCCAUUUCACUAGCGUGGAGAGGCUUGUGCUCCACACCAGGACUGCCCACCGCCCUGGCUGGAGCCAAAGAGGGGAGAAAAGAGUCCCUCAGAAGCCAGCCCCCAGCUGUGUCCCAGAGAAAGGCAAGGCACCUGGGGCACCUAGGCCGGCAGCGACCACAGCCUCCCUCCCCUUUGUGCCGAGAAGCCACACAGAGUGUGGUCCUGACAUUCCACCUGUCCUUGCCCACAUGUGGGGAGGCACAUGGCCCCAGGUCUAUUAAACAGCAGGUGAAAUCUUCCUCACCUUGGAUAAACCCACACCUGUAAUUCCAUGUAAGCGUGUCUGUGUGCACACACGGUACCCCACGUUCCACCGUAGAGUGUAAGGCACCUGCAUGCCAGGGGAUGGCUCUAAGGAUGUGCUAGAUAAAACUGGAGUUGACAUGAGCAAGCACAGGGUAAAGAAAGAAAACACACGAGCCUUUAAAAAGGUAAGAGAAAGGGGCUGGGUGAGGAGAAAGGUGACCCACAGAAGGGCUUGGCUGUCAUUAGCUCAGGCAAUGGCAUCGUCAGCUGUCAGCUUUGGCUCUGAGUCCCUAGUUCUGUGGCUUUGGAGGUUAAGAUGGAGCUUGUCAGUGACGCCCAGGAGGUGGUGGUUCUAUCCAGAGGAAGAGCACACGGAAGAGUCUCCCCAAGCAGCCCAGCCGAGUGCUCCAAUUAAAGCCACGUCCCUGCUCCCCUUGUUUCCCCAUAACCAGACGCCCUGAGAGACGUCUUUCCUGUGCCUGUAUGUGCAGUUAGGAGGGUUAGGAAGCCACUCUCCUACACGGAGACACAGGACGUUCUGAGAUGGAUAAAAGAGCUGAUAAGGAGAAGUAAGCCUGAACAGAAAUUCCUGAAAGGACCAACAGAGACUCCCCAACACAGCCAAGCCUUUCCAAAAGCCAGGAGGAGGAGAGAGGACUUGACUCCGGCCACAGGCCCAGGGCAACGUGCUGGGCCCCGGAGCGUCCUGCUCCCUGGGGCGCCCCAGGGUAGGUGUGGCCCAGCUCGUCCCAGCUCAUGGUCACAGGCUCACGUGCAGCUCACACACAACAGCAGCCAAAGCCCAGGCAGAAACUGCAGGCAGGGCCUGGGGAACAUUUCUGCCCCCUCCCAGGCUCCCAUCUGCACUUGCCUAGCUAGAAAGAGCCACUCUCAUCAUUAGCAGUGUAAAAAGAACACCUUCCCUCUCAGUUUGGACCUGGCCUGACACACAGGGUCACUGCUGAGUCAUCUGUGACUUGGGAGUAGGGACCAGGGAGGGUGGACACAGUUGAGUCAGAGGCAGGUCUGUGGGCAGCUGCCCUCCAGGGACAACCUGGGCAGGGAGAGGAGGACCUGGACCUGCCAGGCCAGCAGAAGCAGUGUCUGCCUGGGGAGUAGCUAGGCAAAGGACAAAUGCAUCUGGCCUAUCUGUGCUGUAAAGCAGGGAAGGCCACCAAAGCAUCAAAGGAAAACAGCCCCAAAACCGGCAGAGGAAAGUAGACCAGCAAGCUGGGGUUGAAGUGUCCUGUUCCCGCCUCCUGUGCAACAGCACCUGGCAAAGUCCACUCUCUGUGGGGCCAGAUGAGCUGGCAGCAAGAGAAGGCUGUGAGAUUUUUGAUGCAGAGAUGUAGAAACUCUGAGCGGGCUCUGAGAAAUUUUAGCCACAGCACAAAAGGGGUGUGUGUGAUGGUGGUGCCUGCACUCCCUGGUGUGGUCUGCAGGAGACAGAAUCACCCUGGGUCUGCUGAGGCCAGGGUUCUCUCAGACGCUACUUCACUGACUGGACAUUUAAACCGUUUAGUAGGUCCUCAGGCCUCUCUCCUCCACACACAGGUCAGCAGGCCCUCUCUGCUCUGGCUGGAUUCUCCAAGGCACCUCCUGGCCCCACCCAGGGCUUGGGGCAGGCCUAUCUCAUGCAGUGAGCCGGCUGGGUACUAAUUGGGCUCACCUCUGACAGUACCGCUCCCAGCAUGCACUCGGCUUCCAGCCCCAGAGACCAACACUGCUAAGUAGGACAAGGGAUCCGGAGCCUUCGAUGGCACCCUCCACUGGGCAGCCUGCUCCCACACCACUCCAACCCCUCCCGCUCCUCACCACGCGAGUCUGCCUGCCAACACAGCAGGGGCCACAGAAAGCCUGCCACCAGGGCCACCA